AUUGAACGCUGGCGGCAUGCCUUACACAUGCAAGUCGAACGGUAACAGGUCUUCGGAUGCUGACGAGUGGCGAACGGGUGAGUAAUACAUCGGAACGUGCCCAGUCGUGGGGGAUAACUACGCGAAAGCGUAGCUAAUACCGCAUACGAUCUAUGGAUGAAAGCGGGGGAUCGCAAGACCUCGCGCGAUUGGAGCGGCAGAUGGCAGAUUAGGUAGUUGGUGGGGUAAAGGCUCACCAAGCCGACGAUCUGUAGCUGGUCUGAGAGGACGACCAGCCACACUGGGACUGAGACACGGCCCAGACUCCUACGGGAGGCAGCAGUGGGGAAUUUUGGACAAUGGGCGCAAGCCUGAUCCAGCCAUGCCGCGUGCAGGAUGAAGGCCUUCGGGUUGUAAACUGCUUUUGUACGGAACGAAAAGUCUCCUUCUAAUAAAGAGGGAUCAUGACGGUACCGUAAGAAUAAGCACCGGCUAACUACGUGCCAGCAGCCGCCGUAACAC
rnacentral:rRNA from 1 species